GGAACAGCAUUCCAGGUAAUACUCAAGGGUCCCCGCGAUCAGCCUCAUAUUGGGCGAUGCACUAGCUAGAAGAGUCACAGGACAAUUGCCCUCUGUACACACAGCGACGGUUUAUCACUGUGAAAAGAAUUCUUCAGCAAAGGAAAAAGAAUCUGCGGGAGGAAGUCAUCAAGAGGACGUGACCACCAGCUGACCUGUUCCAUCAGAGGCUCCACACACCCCACCCCCAUGGAAUGUACAUUCUGCCCACAUUUCCCAUAGUUGGAACCAUUUUAAGGAUGCAGCUUUGAGAGAGUAAGGUGUUACUGAGACCAUCUGUACGUUAUACAUGACUGAACCUACCUAAGGACUCCAGAUAAGAUUCUCGCAGGGUGACCUGCGGCAACCACAUCAUCUGGGAAAUUAUAAAUGCAGACACUCCAGACUCACUGCAAAACUGUUGAAUCACACUCUGCAUUUCAACAAUAUCCUUUGAGACAGACAAAGAGCCAAAGGAGGAAGGUC